GCGGCCCGCCCCGCCCCGCCCCCAGGCUCUCGCCGCAGAGCCCAACCCGCAGCCGCAGAUUCGGACCCCAGCCGCCUGGGGUCGGCCACACGCACGCUGUCCGCGAGCCUGCCUCACCCUUAUCGCUUCUGCACGGAGAAGCUGCGAAGAUCUCGUCGUCCCUCGGGAUCUGCCUACACUUGUUCACAUUCACUUACUACCAUUGCUUGCACAAAUGUCCUUGAUAGUUUGGACCCGAGGAGAAUUACUCAAACAUUAAUUAGAAGAUUGAGACUCAUCAGUUAACAUUCAGGGAGUUCACACAUUGGACAAUGGGACAAUUAAACCUGCUAGCACUAACCCAGAAUCUGCUGUGGAUAAACUAGCUAGAAAGCUCACCCAGGCCACCACCUGAAAAACCACACCCUGGGAAGUCCAGAAAAGAGUCGGCGCAUAAUGGACACACAAUGCACACAUAAGCUCUGUCAAGCCUGUCCGCCAGUCAGUCCUGGGUGCUUUCUCAGAAGCCAGCAGCCUCCCUAACACGUCCUUUACCGUGGGCUCAGAGCAGUGGAUUUCAAAGAAAAUCAUCCUGAAACAUGCUUUUACCUGCACAAGCUCGGACAAAUGGAUCCUCAUCCCACUCUUUCUCCUGGCUGCAGAAUGGUGGUCAGAGGCAGGCUGCUUCAUGCAUGUGCGUUCACAGUGUGAAAUGUGAAUUUAUAAAAUUCCCAAAGGUGCAAUGGUAGGCACUGAGACAUUAACAUAUGAAACUCCACAUCCCAAGGCCCUGCUCAGAUGUGUCUUCAUAAAAGCUUAUCUCCGAUUCUCUCAGCAAGAAAUAAUUUCCACUCUUCUUAACCCUCAUUAUACUUGACCCAUUUCCCUUAUUCAAUAUUCAUUCAAAUAUCUGUGGAUCUUCUAAGUGUCUGAUGUUGAAAUUGCAGGAUAAGGAUUGUGCUGCCAACCAUUUAACCUUUGAUCCCUCCUACUAUUUUGUAGUGUUUGGAGGGACCUUCUCCGUGAGCAAAGAAUAGGCAUACCCAGGUUAGCCCACAGCUACUAGGAAUGUAUUGUGAAGCUCCAUAGUAAUUAAAAGGAAGAAUAGUCUCAACAGUCAAAUCAGCAGAGAACAGAACCUGAAUCCAGGACAUAGCAGUGCUUGGGACCCUCCAGGCUGACAAGUUCUAGCCACCUGCUCAGCUGGCCAAACCCAUUCUUUCAACUCCAAUAGCACAUCCUUGCUCGCUCCUUAUUCUACUUU